GCUAUACAUUAUCCUUUCUAGUUUUAGGUUCUUUAUCACCUUUAACUUGAAGGAAAACGUUCCAGCCUAUUCAUUCAAAUUAUAGAAUAGUUCUUUCAUUUUUGAAAAUUGAUUCAUGACCUUGGAGUUCUCUUGGAGCAAAAGAAAAGUUGGGAAAGAAAGAAGCCUCUCGGCCAAGGUGGUUCUAGCCGAGCAAUGGAGGAUUGAGGGGGAGAAAUCAUGCCUCAAAGUGUUGAAAUUAUUCAAGUGAUUAGCAAGGUUAAGAAGCUGAGUUUAUGGAGGUUGAGAUAUUAUUGGGCAGCGUAUACGUGUUGUGUGGCGAAUAAACGCUAAAGAUACAGGUGCUCACGUUGGUAACCCGCCAGCUUAGGAGUCCUAUUCAGCUAUCUUGGAGAGCUCCCUUGUCCCGAAGCCUAGAUUUUGGUACAGAAUCUCUGUGGUGUAUAUGUAUUUUAUCCAGGGGUACGGCGGGGCCUUGUCCCGUCAUACGAUACUGUUGUUACUCUUAGAGGUCUGUAGACAUAUGUGUGGGUUGUGUAUCGAUAUUGUUCAGUUGUGUCUAUAUGGCUUAUGUUUUGGGACGUUCCCAUUCGUAGUGGCAACCUUGUCGGCUUGCGUAGAUAUAUAUAUAUAUAUAUAUAUAUAUAUAUAUAUAUAUAUAUGUUUUGAGAAGUAAUGUGUUACGAUAGCCUUGUCGGCUCGUUUAUGGCGGGGAUGUUCCCUUAUAUAUUAUGAAAGCCUUGUCGGCUUAUGUACUAUGAUGUCUGUUGAAAGUUGUACCUCCCCAGGAGACAGGUUGUUGUGAUACGUCUA